rnacentral:rRNA from 1 species
GACGAACGCUGGCGGCGUGGAUUAGGCAUGCAAGUCGAACGGUAUCAUCCUUUCGGGGGUGAGAGAGUGGCGAACUGGUGAGUAACACGUAGGUUAUCUACCCUCAAGACGGGGACAACCCAGGGAAACUUGGGCUAAUACCGGAUGUGAGCAACUUUUAGUUGUUUGAAAGGUGGCGUAAGCUGUCGCUUGGGGAUGAGCCUGCGUCCUAUUAGUUAGUUGGUGAGGUAACGGCUCACCUAGGCAAUGAUAGGUAGGCGGCCUUAACGGGUGGUCGCCCACACUGGGAUUGAGAUACGGCCCAGACUCCUACGGGAGGCAGCAGUCGAGAAUAGUCUACAAUGGUCGGAAGACUGAUAGUGCGACGCCGCGUGAACGAUGAAUCCCUUCGGGGUGUAAAGUUCUUUUAUAUGUGAGCAGUGCUUCUUAUAUUAACAGUAUGGGGAGAGAGAUAUUAGCAUAUGAAUAAGCAACGGCUAACUCCGUGCCAGCAGCCGCGGUAAACUCGGU